UACGUAGGGUGCAAGCGUUAAUCGGAAUUACUGGGCGUAAAGCGUGCGCAGGCGGUUGUGCAAGACAGAUGUGAAAUCCCCGGGCUCAACCUGGGAACUGCAUUUGUGACUGCACGGCUGGAGUGCGGCAGAGGGGGAUGGAAUUCCGCGUGUAGCAGUGAAAUGCGUAGAUAUGCGGAGGAACACCGAUGGCGAAGGCAAUCCCCCUGGGCCUGCACUGACGCUUACUGCACGAAAGCGUGGGGAGCAAACAGG
rnacentral:rRNA from 1 species